rnacentral:rRNA from 1 species
GUGGGGAAUCUUGCGCAAUGGGCGAAAGCCUGACGCAGCCAUGCCGCGUGAAUGAUGAAGGUCUUAGGAUUGUAAAAUUCUUUCACCGGGGACGAUAAUGACGGUACCCGGAGAAGAAGCUCCGGCUAACUUCGUGCCAGCAGCCGCGGUAAUACGAAGGGGGCUAGCGUUGCUCGGAAUUACUGGGCGUAAAGGGCGCGUAGGAGGACAGCUAAGUCAGAGGUGAAAGCCCAGGGCUCAACCUUGGAAUUGCCUUUGAUACUGGCUGUCUUGAGUUUGGGAGAGGUGAGUGGAACUCCGAGUGUAGAGGUGAAAUUCGUAGAUAUUCGGAAGAACACCAGUGGCGAAGGCGACUCACUGGCCCAAUACUGACGCUGAGGCGCGAAAGCGUGGGGAGCAAACAGGAUUAGAUACCCGUGUAGUCC